CGAUGGGCGGCAGCCCUUACCAUGCAAGUCGAACGGCAGCACGGGUGCUUGCACCUGGUGGCGAGUGGCGAACGGGUGAGUAAUACAUCGGAACAUGUCCUGUAGUGGGGGAUAGCCCGGCGAAAGCCGGAUUAAUACCGCAUACGAUCUACGGAUGAAAGCGGGGGACCUUCGGGCCUCGCGCUAUAGGGUUGGCCGAUGGCUGAUUAGCUAGUUGGUGGGGUAAAGGCCUACCAAGGCGACGAUCAGUAGCUGGUCUGAGAGGACGACCAGCCACACUGGGACUGAGACACGGCCCAGACUCCUACGGGAGGCAGCAGUGGGGAAUUUUGGACAAUGGGCGAAAGCCUGAUCCAGCAAUGCCGCGUGUGUGAAGAAGGCCUUCGGGUUGUAAAGCACUUUUGUCCGGAAAGAAAUCCUUGGCUCUAAUACAGUCGGGGGAUGACGGUACCGGAAGAAUAAGCACCGGCUAACUACGUGCCAGCAGCCGCGGUAAUACGUAGGGUGCAAGCGUUAAUCGGAAUUACUGGGCGUAAAGCGUGCGCAGGCGGUUUGCUAAGACCGAUGUGAAAUCCCCGGGCUCAACCUGGGAACUGCAUUGGUGACUGGCAGGCUAGAGUAUGGCAGAGGGGGGUAGAAUUCCACGUGUAGCAGUGAAAUGCGUAGAGAUGUGGAGGAAUACCGAUGGCGAAGGCAGCCCCCUGGGCCAAUACUGACGCUCAUGCACGAAAGCGUGGGGAGCAAACAGGAUUAGAUACCCUGGUAGUCCACGCCCUAACGAUGUCAACUAGUUGUUGGGGAUUCAUUUCCUUUAGUAACGUAGCUAACGCGUGAGUGACCGCCUGGGGAGUACGGUCGGCAAGAUUAGACUCAAAGGAUUGACGGGACCCGCACAGCGUGAUGGAUGUGGAUAUCCGAAUGCACGGCGAAAACCUUAACCCUAUACCCC
rnacentral:rRNA from 1 species